rnacentral:rRNA from 1 species
CUUCGGGUCUAGUGGCGCACGGGUGCGUAACGCGUGGGAAUCUGCCCUUAGGUACGGAAUAACUCAGAGAAAUUUGUGCUAAUACCGUAUGAUGUCGAAAGACCAAAGAUUUAUCGCCUAAGGAUGAGCCCGCGUAAGAUUAGCUUGUUGGUGAGGUAAAAGCUCACCAAGGCGACGAUCUUUAGCUGGUCUGAGAGGAUGAUCAGCCACACUGGGACUGAGACACGGCCCAGACUCCUACGGGAGGCAGCAGUGGGGAAUAUUGGACAAUGGGCGAAAGCCUGAUCCAGCAAUGCCGCGUGAGUGAUGAAGGCCUUAGGGUUGUAAAGCUCUUUUACCAGGGAUGAUAAUGACAGUACCUGGAGAAUAAGCUCCGGCUAACUCCGUGCCAGCAGCCGCGGUAAUACGGAGGGAGCUAGCGUUGUUCGGAAUUACUGGGCGUAAAGCGUACGUAGGCGGUUAUUCAAGUCAGAGGUGAAAGCCUGGAGCUCAACUCCAGAACUGCCUUUG